UACGAAGGACCCGAGCGUUAUCCGGAUUUAUUGGGUUUAAAGGGUGCGUAGGCGGAAUAGUAAGUCAGUGGUGAAAGCCUGUUGCUUAACAACAGAACUGCCAUCGAUACUGCUAAUCUUGAGUACAUAUGAUGUGGGCGGAAUGUGCCAUGUAGCGGUGAAAUGCUUAGAUAUGGCACAGAACACCGAUUGCGAAGGCAGCUCACAAAACUGUUACUGACGCUGAGGCACGAAAAGCGUGGGGAUCAAACAGG
rnacentral:rRNA from 1 species